CCUACGGGAGGCAGCAGUGGGGAAUAUUGGGCAAUGGGCGCAAGCCUGACCCAGCAACGCCGCGUGAAGGAAGAAGGCUUUCGGGUUGUAAACUUCUUUUGUCAGGGACGAAGCAAGUGACGGUACCUGACGAAUAAACCACGGCUAACUACGUGCCAGCAGCCGCGGUAAUACGUAGGUGGCAAGCGGUAUCCGGAUUUACUGGGUGUAAAGGGCGUGUAGGCGGGACUGCAAGUCAGAUGUGAAAACCACGGGCUCAACCUGUGGCCUGCAUUUGAAACUGUAGUUCUUGAGUACUGGAGAGGCAGACGGAAUGCCUAGGGUAGCGGUGAAAUGCGUAGAUAUUAGGAGGAACACCAGUGGCGAAGGCGUUCUGCUGGACAGCAACUGACGCUGAGGCGCGAAAGCGUGGGGAGCAAACAGGAUUAGAUACCCCAGUAGUC
rnacentral:rRNA from 1 species